UGUUACAAUAACUGAUUUACAAAUAGAAUUAAAAAAUAUUAAAGAAGAAAUUCGAGAAAUAAAAUCAAAAAUUAAAGAACUAGAAAAGGGGGAAAAUAAAAAGGAUGAAGAAAACAAUAACAAUACUGAGAAUAUAGGAAAAAUAAAUCAUUUAAAAUGAUUAACUUCUCAAAAAUGGUAUACUAAAUUAAAUAUAAUAGUCAAUAAUGAAUUUCGAUUAACAUUAGUUGCCAUGAUUGAUAGUGGUGUUGAUAUGAACUGUAUUCAAGAAGGUCUAAUACCCACAAAAUACUAUGAAAAGACUACCUAUAGAUUAUAGAUUAUCUGGAGCCAAUGGGAACCCAUUAAAUAUUAAAUAUAAACUAACAAAUGUUCAUAUUUGCAAAGAAAAUUAUUGUUAUAAAACCCAAUUAGUUUUAGUAAAGGAUUUAACAUCUCAAAUUAUAUUAGGACUCCCAUUCAUAACUCAGUUAUAUCCUUUCACAGUUGAAGAAAAGGGAAUAAGUAUUAAAGUAUUAAAUAAAAGGAUCUGCUUUGAAUUUGCUCAUCCAUUUACUUCAAAACAAAUAAAUAUUUUAAGCUUAAAAGAAAAGCAAAAGGAUUUUUUAAUUGAAGAAAUUGACCAUGUUAGAAUAAAGAAUCAAUUGCAAGAUAAAAUGAUUAUAAAAAGAAUACAAGAAACUAAGAAUAAAUUUAAAGAUAACAUUUGUGCAAAUAUUCCAAAUGCUUUUUGGGAAAGAAAACAACAUAUAGUAAGAUUACCUUAUAUUAAAGAUUUUAAUGAGAGAAAUAUUCCAACCAAGUCUAAAGCUAUACAUAUGUCUCAAGAGUUAGAAGGCUAUUGUAAAAAGGAAAUACAAGAAUUAUUAGAUAAAAAACUAAUUAGACCAUCUAAAUCCCCUUGGUCUUGUUCUGCCUUCUAUGUUCAAAAUAAUGCAGAAAUAGAAAGAGGAGCUCCUAGGUUAGUUAUAAAUUAUAAACCAUUAAAUAAAGUUUUAGAAUGGAUUAGAUAUCCUAUACCAAAUAAAAGAGAUUUAUUAAAAAAGAUUUAUGAUUCAAAAAUAUUUUCUAAAUUUGAUAUGAAGUCUGGAUUUUGGCAAGUUCAAAUUGCUGAAGAAGAUAGAUGUAAAACUGGGUUCAAUGUACCAUUCGGACACUAUGAAUGGAAUGUAAUGCCUUUUGGAUUAAAAAAUGCUCCUUCAGAAUUUCAAAAUAUAAUGAAUGAUAUCAUUUUACCAUUAGGAAAUUAUGCAAUAAUUUAUAUUAAUGAUGUAUUAAUAUUUUCAAAUUCCUUAGAUCAAUAUUUUAAACAUUUAAAUGCUUUCUACAAUAUUAUUCAUAAAAAUGGAUUAGUAGUAUCAUCUUCUAAAAUGAGUCUUUUUCAAACAGAAAUAAAAUUUUUAGGACAUAACAUUAUUCAAGGAACAAUAAAACCUAUUAACAGAAGUUUAGAAUUUUCAAAUAAAUUUCCAAAUGAAAUAAAAGAUAAAAGGCAAUUGCAAAGAUUUUUAGGAUGUUUAAAUUAUAUUCAAGACUUUUUCAAAGAUUUAGGAAUUAUAUGUAAACCUUUAUAUGACAGGUUAAAAAAGAAUCCAAAACCAUGGACUCAAGAACACACGGAUAUAGUAAAAUAUAUCAAAGAUAAAAUAAAAUGCUUACCUUGUUUACAUAUUCCCCAUCCUAAUGCUAAAUUAAUUUUAGAAACUGAUGUAAGUGACUUAGGAUUUGGAGGAAUACUAAAACAGGAAUUAAAUAAUAAAGAAAAUUUAGUUAGAUAUUAUUCAGGUGCAUGAAAUGAUACUCAAAAGAAUUAUUCUACAAUUAAAAAGGAAAUUUUAAGUAUAGUUUUAUGUAUAAAAAAGUUUGAAGAUGAUUUAUACAUGAAACCAUUUUUAUUAAGAAUCGCCUGUUUAUCUGCAAAAUAUAUUUUAGAAAAGGAUAUUAAAAACCUGAUUUCAAAACAAGUUUUUGCAAGAUGGCAAGCAUUAUUAAGCAAUUUUGAUUUUCAAAUAGAAUUUAUAAAAGGAGAAAAUAAUUCUUUACCAGAUUUUUUAUCAAGAGAAUUUUUACAGGGAAUAUGAAUAACUCUGAUUCUACAAAAAAAGAUUGUAUUCUCAAAACAACAAUUCUCAAAAUCUCAAUUAUCAAGUUCUCAAAGUUCCCCAUCAAGACCAACCCAUUUGCAACAAUUUCCUUUAUUACCUAAUAUUCAAAACAAAUUUGCUCCUCUAACUCCAGGGCCCAGACCUAGACCUCCAUUCUCAUCCAUUAUUCAAAAUCUAGAAUCAAAACCCAUUAUUCAAUCUCCUUCUUUCACAAAACUUUCUAAACAAUCCCCUCCUUCAAGCUCUUCACCAGCCACCAUUCCUUAUACUAUCAACCCUAAUAAAAAGAUUAUCAAAAUACUAGAACCUUUGGAAGUCAAAAAGGUUAGCAAAAUUUUUUUUAUCCUUAAUCGACUUCAUUUAUCCAAAAGGAUGCCAUUUUUUCAAAGACGAAUACAAGACCAGAGAUUAUUAUCAAGCAAUUCUAGUAGAUUCCGAAUCAGUCAAAAUUCGACACAAUUUUAAUACUGAAGAUCCUUCCAAGAUUGCUUAUAGUCAAGUAAAAAUUUUAAGGGUUCUAUCUUUGGAAGAUUGGAAUUCUAAGCCUUAUAAUUCAAAAACCCUUUCAAAUUUUAGUGCUUAUCCUCAAUAUAACUAUUAUGAUUAUCAAGAUGCAUGGGAAUAUGCAUUUCUUCUAAGAAAUUUUGAUCAUUCUUGGUUCUUCCAGUUUGAUGAAGAUUUUUCAAAUAUUUAUCCAAGAUGGUUUGUUAAAUGGUUUAAAUAUAUGGGAAUUAUUCUAGAAGCUUUUCCCAAAGAAAUUUCAGAAGCAUUCUCAAGAUUUGUCGAGUAUUUUCAACAUGAUGGAACACCAAUUUUUGAAUAUACUUUACAAUUUAUGAGUGUUUUCAGAAUUCCGUGGAUUUGUUUAUGGACUUACAAUUUUCAAGAAGAAAGCCCUACAGAACUUUCUCCUCCGUUGCUCUAUAGACAAUACAGAUGUAAAUGGUGGAAUAAGUUUAUCAUCACAAAAGCAAAUUCUCAAGCGGUUACCAAGUAUUAUAAGGAACUAACUACUCAAUAUGAAACAAGUUUAAAGUCUCCGAUUCGAGACAUUAAAGCCAGCAAUGAAGAUCAAGAGUAUAUUCAAAGACUUUCAGGAUGCAAUUCUCCAGAAGAAAUUUUAAGGAUAGUCAAUGAAAUUCGACAAUCUCCAUCCACUUCAAAACACUCAUCCCUGGGGACUGAAGUUUUCCAAGAUUCUCAAGACCCAUAUGAUAUGAUAUAAAAAAAAAUGAUGAAAUGAUGAAAGUUUGGAAAAAUAAUUAUCUUCAAAAGUGGUGCAAAAUAAUUCAACAAGAAGACAAUCAACUUUUCUUAUUUUCAAGAAUGCAACAAAUAAUUCAACAAAGAGACAACCGACUUUUCAAUUCUUCAAAAUAGUGCAAAUAAUUCUCAAAGUGGACAAACAAUUUCUUCAACAAAAGCCACUCUAUACGGAAGAUAUUUUCAAAAAUCAAUAAUGAAGACCCUUUUACUCCAUCUAUAAAAGGGAAGAAGAUCAACGAAGAAGAACACACCUCACUUCAUUUAGAAAACCCAUUUCUUAUGUAUGAAAAAACCCUCAAACCCAAAACUUGUAUUAUCAACCUCUCAAUGUUCAAAAUCUUUAGAUUUUCAAAUUAUAGUUGCUCCUCCCGAUUGUAAGGAAAUUAUUUGUAAUCAAGAUUUUCAAUUAAUAAAUUCAGAAGUGGAGAGGAAAAAAAAACCCAGAGACACCAUUGAGAAGGUUUUGCAUUUAACAUGGCUGAGUUGAACAACCAACUACCACAGAGUGUUGCCGGUGGUACGACGACAUUCAAUGAACAUCCGGGUUUACCAUUAAAUGCUGUCCUACAUAGUCUUUUACCUGAUUUUGCAUUUAAUGAAGAUGAAGAUGCAUCGGGUGAGAGUAGAGUUGUUGAAGAUCCUGAACCUAUUUCUACAGAGUUUCUAGCAGUUGAAGUUUUCCAGUCUGAAAACGAGAACGUGGGUGAUUCUGUCUCAGAUCUGCAUCCAUAUGGCAUCAAUGAUGAUGAUGAUGGUGUUCAGAAUUGUACUUUUACAGAGUUGCUAUCCACAGGUAUUCAGGUGGAUGAGUAAUUUUAUGUUCACCACACACCCAAUGGCAGUAGAAUGUGGUGUCCUAAUGUUCCUACUGUUUUAAGACCUGUUGUUGGUUGUGUAUAUGAAACGUGGAAUGAUGUGUUCAGUAUGUA